rnacentral:rRNA from 1 species
CCUACGGGUGGCAGCAGUGGGGAAUAUUGCACAAUGGGGGAAACCCUGAUGCAGCGACACCGCGUGAGCGAUGAAGUAUCUCGGUAUGUAAAGCUCUAUCAGCAGGGAAGAAAAUGACGGUACCUGACUAAGCCGCCCCGGCUAACUACGUGCCAGCAGCCGCGGUCAUACGUAGGGGGCAAGCGUUAUCCGGAUUUACUGGGUGUAAAGGGAGCGUAGACGGCGGGGCAAGCCAGAUGUGAAAUCCCGGGGCUCAACCCCGGGACUGCAUUUGGAACUGUGCGGCUGGAGUGUAGGAGAGGAAGGCGGAAUGCCUAGUGUAGCGGUGAAAUGCGUAGAUAUUAGGAGGAACACCAGUGGCGAAGGCGGCCUGCUGGACGGUGACUGACGUUGAGGCUCGAAAGCGUGGGGAGCAAACAGGAUUAGAUACCCUGGUAGUC